rnacentral:rRNA from 1 species
GACGAACGCUGGCGGCGUGCCUAAUACAUGCAAGUUGAGCGCUGAAGGUUGGUACUUGUACCGACUGGAUGAGCAGCGAACGGGUGAGUAACGCGUGGGGAAUCUGCCUUUGAGCGGGGGACAACAUUUGGAAACGAAUGCUAAUACCGCAUAAAAACUUUAAACACAAGUUUUAAGUUUGAAAGAUGCAAUUGCAUCACUCAAAGAUGAUCCCGCGUUGUAUUAGCUAGUUGGUGGGGUAAAGGCUCACCAAGGCGAUGAUACAUAGCCGACCUGAGAGGGUGAUCGGCCACAUUGGGACUGAGACACGGCCCAAACUCCUACGGGAGGCAGCAGUAGGGAAUCUUCGGCAAUGGACGAAAGUCUGACCGAGCAACGCCGCGUGAGUGAAGAAGGUUUUCGGAUCGUAAAACUCUGUUGGUAGAGAAGAACGUUGGUGAGAGUGGAAAGCUCAUCAAGUGACGGUAACUACCCAGAAAGGGACGGCUAACUACGUG